GGAAUCUUCCACAAUGGACGAAAGUCUGAUGGAGCAACGCCGCGUGAGUGAAGAAGGUUUUCGGAUCGUAAAGCUCUGUUAUUGGUGAAGAAGGAUAGAGGCAGUAACUGGUCUUUAUUUGACGGUAAUCAACCAGAAAGUCACGGCUAACUACGUGCCAG
rnacentral:rRNA from 1 species